GACAGAGGGUGCAAGCGUUGUUCGGAAUUACUGGGCGUAAAGCGUGUGUAGGCGGCCGCGCAAGUCGGAUGUGAAAGCCCCGGGCUCAACCCGGGAAGUGCACCCGAUACUGCAUGGCUCGAGUACUGGAGAGGUUGGUGGAAUUCUCGGUGUAGAGGUGAAAUUCGUAGAUAUCGAGAGGAACACCGGUGGCGAAGGCGGCCAACUGGACAGAUACUGACGCUGAGACACGAAAGCGUGGGGAGCAAACAGG
rnacentral:rRNA from 1 species